GAUGAACGCUGGCGGCGUGCCUAAUACAUGCAAGUCGAGCGAACGGACGAGAAGCUUGCUUCUCUGAUGCUAGCGGCGGACGGGUGAGUAACACGUGGAUAACCUACCUAUAAGACUGGGAUAACUUCGGGAAACCGGAGCUAAUACCGGAUAAUAUUUUGAACCGCAUGGUUCAAAAGUGAAAGACGGUCUUGCUGUCACUUAUAGAUGGAUCCGCGCUGCAUUAGCUAGUUGGUAAGGUAACGGCUUACCAAGGCAACGAUGCAUAGCCGACCUGAGAGGGUGAUCGGCCACACUGGAACUGAGACACGGUCCAGACUCCUACGGGAGGCAGCAGUAGGGAAUCUUCCGCAAUGGGCGAAAGCCUGACGGAGCAACGCCGCGUGAGUGAUGAAGGUCUUCGGAUCGUAAAACUCUGUUAUUAGGGAAGAACAUAUGUGUAAGUAACUGUGCACAUCUUGACGGUACCUAAUCAGAAGGCCACGGCUAACUACGUG
rnacentral:rRNA from 1 species